GUGUCAGCAGCCGCGGUAAUACCCGCAGCACAAGUGGUGGUCAUUAUUAUUGGGCCUAAAGCGUCCGUAGCUGGCGUGUUAGAUGCCUGGGUAAAUCGAUGCGCUCAACGCAUCGAAUUCCGGGUAGACCGGCACGCUCGAGACCGGGAGAGGUGUAGGGUACUCGGGGGGUAGGGGUAAAAUCCUGUAAUCCUCCGGGGACGACCAGUGGCGAAGGCGCUACACUAGAACGGCUCUGACAGUGAGGGACGAAGCCCUGGGGCGCAAACCGGAUUAGAUACCCGGGUAGUCC
rnacentral:rRNA from 1 species